GGAUUUUGGAGGGAGAGGAACAGGCGGGGAUAAAAGCUCCAGGAAGCACUUGGGGGAGAAUAAAGAGGGAAGUGUGGAGAAGUGAACUUGGGAGACUACUGUGACAACAGCUCUUUGGCAUAUGAAGUUGAUCUUUUUUGUGCAUUAUUUUCCAAACAUUUCUACCUAUAAGGGACAAGAAUCUGCAGGCCCAUGGAUUAGUAGAAAAGUCAGCCACGGAUCUAGAAGAAAAUGAGGGUUGUGGAUAACAAGGCCCAUAAGGGACACAAGCUGGAUGUAUGAGUUUGGAUGAAAUGUUUAGCCAGUGGCUGAGUUUCCUUCUUUGCUUCCCUGGUUUGCAAUUAAUGGGUAGUUGUAGUCCAGAAGGCGUUCAAGGAUUACUGGAAGACUACAUAGAGCUGAAAUUUGUAAGCUGUGGUUCUUAUACCUACAAGGUGAAACUGAAUAUUUCAUACAAUAAAAUAACAUCGAAA
rnacentral:lncRNA from 1 species